GUUAAAAAGCUCGUAGUUGGAUUUCGGAGUGGGCCGGUUGGUCCGCCGCAAGGUGUGUUACUGACUGGUUUGCUCUUCUUCGCAAAGACUGCGUGUGCUCUUUGUUGAGUGUGCGUAGGAUUUACGACGUUUACUUUGAAAAAAUUAGAGUGUUCAAAGCAGGCUAUUGCUUGAAUACAUGAGCAUGGAAUAAUGGAAUAGGACUUUGGUCCCAUUUUGUUGGUUUCUAGGACCGAAGUAAUGAUUAAGAGGGACAAUUGGGGGCAUCCGUAUUUCGUUGUCAGAGGUGAAAUUCUUGGAUUUACGAAAGACGAACAACUGCGAAAGCACUUGCCAAGAGUGUUUUCAUUAAUCAAGAACGAAAGUUAGAGGAUCGAAGACGAUCAGAUACCGUCCUAGUUCUAACCAUAAACGAUGUCGACUAGGGAUCAGCGGGCGU
rnacentral:rRNA from 1 species